rnacentral:lncRNA from 1 species
CCUUCAGCCCCGAGCGCGCGCGUCCCCCGGGCGCCCAUUCAUUCGCGCGCAGGGCCGGCCCUGCGCUCCAGCCGCCGCCGGCUGACCCACCCGGCUACUGCGCACUGGGAGAGGAGCGCGCCGGGUGGGAAGCGGCGCGGGCUCUUCCUCCCGCGCCCGGGAACCCGGCGAGACAGACGCCCGCGGCGGAAUGGCGACUGGCCAGAGCCAGCCUCGGCUCCCACCGCUAGAUGACCGAACGCCCGGCAGCUGCCCCCGCGCGGCCCUCGUCGGUCCUGCCUACCCACACCCACCCCCGGACUGAGUGGCCCUGAGUCACCGACUGGAGACGCGCGACCCCCGACCUGGGCCAGCGCCGCGGAGCUGCAGUUCCGGGCUGCGCUUUGGCGCGGGAUUCAAGGAAUGGAUUCCAGCAGCAUCAUAGAAUCAAAGCAACACCUAAGGAAUUCACUGUUUCUUCACGUACUUUGACCUUUGAAAACAAGAGUCAUCAUAAUAGCUACAGUUUACUCAGUACCUACCAGAUGCCAGUCACUGUGCCACCACUUCACCUAAACUGUCUCUAAAGCCCAUACAACCCUGAGCUAAGGAUGAUCAUAUCCCCAACUGCAGACGAUGACACUGAAGCCCAAAGGCUACUCAACUUGCCUGGAAUUCUACAGCAAGUAAGUGGUGAAGCUCAGUUUAAGUCCCGUGCCAUUUUCAACGCUUGUGUCUGGGUAUGAGUGCAGGGCUUCUGACGCCACUGGGAAAUCUGCAGUGUGGUCUGAAUUUCUGUAUGCAGGAGCCUCACUUCCCCUGCCCACAGUUCUCCGUUUUCUCAUCCAUAAAAGGAGGGAUACGAGAUGUCCUGGGGGAAGCGGGGGUCCCACCAACUGUGCCACUUAGAACUUGCAUUUCCUCCCUUUCAGGAUUUCUCUUAGGCACAGGAUUUCUCUUAGGCACAUUGUUUUAAAGCUGUCAAAGCCAGCACUCAGGGUAAGCUGGGCAAAGUUCCACAAGCCCCUGGGGCUCCCAGAUGCCCCAGGGAGCUCUCCGCCUCCGCCUCCGCCUCCGCCUCCAUGCCUUUGGUGUGGGGGUUGUAGAGGAGUGGAUAACCGAGGCGGAAAGGGUACAGCUCAGUGUAAGGCCCUGGCUCUGGGGCUGGACAACCUGAACUUGAAUGCUGAUCCUGUCACAAAUUAAGAGAGUGGCUUAGGCAAAUUCUUAACCUCAGUUUCCUCAACUGCAAAAUGGGGCACUGACAGCUCUCACCUCACAACUUUGUUGGGAAAGAUAGGAUGAAAUAAAGUCAUAUAAAAUCCACUGCCUAGUAAGCACCCCAGUCCCCUGGGGCUCUUUCCCGCAGGCUGUUGCUGGCUGCUGGAGGUGAAAGGGGCCUCCUGAAAGGGAUUGCUCACUAUUGCUGCCAAGAACAGAUCUGACGUGAGCCUCUUUGGCCAUGGCUAAUGUCCAACAUUCAUAGACUGUCCUGCCCGUGGGUGGUGGCUGCCUCUUCCAGAGCCUCUGCUGAGCAGGCUGGAGGCAAGGCAGGGGAAAGGCACAGAGCAGGGCCCCAGCCUCCCAUUCAUUACCUUUGAGAUGCUGGGCCAGCUCAGAAGCUCUUGCUCUGUCUGCAGCAGUAGGGCCCAGAAGGUAGGGAAGGGACCUGACUGGAUACCCUCACGGGCCCAUAUCUGCUCUAAGCAGGAAAGAAGGCAGGGAUGGUGGACAGAAUGUAUGUUACCAUGCAACAGGCAAUGUGCUGACACAGGAUCUCAGAAUACUCACAACGACCCUGUGAAGAAGGCGCAAUCAUCCCCUUUCCACAGGGGAGGAUACUGAUGCCCACGGAGGUGCCAGCAUAAAGUGGAGCAUGCGCUGCCCACUGCCAGCUGAGCGCACUCAAUGCACCAAUCGUCUCUAAGGAAAAGAUAUUUAUAAGGUGAGUUUCUACAAACCAUUAUAUAUGGAGGAAAGGACUGAGCUCUUUGAAAGGAACUUGGCAGCUUUCUUAUUGUCAAUCUUCCUCCUCCUAUUUAUCUGAUAACCGUGGUUUAUUAGUUAUUAGUUUCUGCCACUGGAGUAUGUGUUCCAAGAGGACUGGGGUUUUUGUAUAUUUUGUUUACCACUGUUUUCCCGGUGCUUAUAGUAGUGGCAAAUAGUACAUGCUUGUUAGUGUGCAG